CACCGCCGUCACACCACGAAGUGGUUAUAACCAGAAGCAGCUGAGCUAACCGCAAGGAGGCAAGCUACCAAGGUUGUAGCUGCAAUUGGGGUG
rnacentral:rRNA from 1 species